CUCACGGACUGCAAGACCAUGACCUGAGCCAAAGUCGAUCGGUCAACCCACCGAACCACCCAGGCGCCCCUGAAGAAUAAAACAUUAUUAAGUAGGAUGAUUAUAUGUUUACUAAAAAACCCAGAGACUGAUUUUUUUUAAGUGUGAGAAAUAAUUAUAAUAUUUUAAAACGAAUGAGUAUAAUAUAAAUAUCUAAAACCCAAUAGCUUUUAAAAAUAAUAUCAACUAUUUAUAACUGCAGAUGAAAAAAUAACCUGUUCACAAUAAUGACCGAGUAUAAAUUAAGGAGAAAUAAAGCUAACAAAAAAGUUAUAGGUCCUAUAGGGGAAAAAUGACUAUAGAAAUAUACAUAGGGACACAUAACAAACAAAACCUAAAUGGAUAAUACUUGACAAAUUAACAUUUGAAUUUAGUGCAAUUCUAGCCAGAAUGCCUUUGGUAUGUUUGUGGCAACUCAAGAUUCCAAGGUUCAGUAGAAAGUAACAGUAUUUAAAGUUUAUAUGGAAGAAAAGCGGGUGUGCGUGUGUGUGUGUGUGUGUGUGUAAAUUGCUAAGAACGUUAUGAAUAAAUAGUAUAUUCUGGAGGUACUUACCUUUUUAGAUUUUGGCUGUGAAGUGAUUGCAAUCGAAACCAUAUUGUACUGGCAAAAGGCUACACAAAUGAGUCAGUGAACUAAAACUGAGAGUCCAGAAAUAUAUCCAAAUAAGAUAGAUAUUUCAGUUCUGAGUGAGUAGCUAUUUUAUUUAAUAAGUGCUGUCACGUAACUCGUUAUUUAUAUGGCAGGUGGGAAGACCCUGUCCUUUUUAAUGGUAUACAAAGGUGAAUUCCAAGUAGCUUAAGGAGCUAACUAGAAAUAUAAAGUUAUAAAGAUGAUAAAAAGAAAUAUAGGACACUUUUGAUGGAGAGGGAUUUUAGUAAGGCAAGAAACCUAAAAACAAAAAACAUAAAAUUGGCAGACUGAAUUACUUGAAAGCUUAAAGCUUCCAAAUAACAAAAGAAACCAUAAGCAAAGUAAAAAAAAAAAAAAAAAAAAAAGUAAUAGACUUGGAGAAAGUAACUACAAAAUCUGUGGUCCCUAGGGGUUAAUAAUACUAGUAUGCAAAGCAGAUAUGAAAAGGCAUUUUACUAUAAAAGUUAAACGUACAGCUUCCAAAAUAUAUGAAAUAGAAUUAAUCUCCCCUAGUAAUACCCACAUCCAACACCUAAGUAACACAAACAUUUUGUCCCUGGUGUACCUAUUCUGUCUUUUGAUGGAAGCAUUUGCUGCCAAGUGACAAAUUCUAAUUAAGCACUCUCAGAAAGGCGUGCGAUUCCAAUAGGUGCCUGACAUUAUGUUGCAGUUGUCGAAGAACUGAUGUUGUUUUCUUUUUUUUUUUUUCAAUUCUUUACAACUCUUGUAGAGCAUUACUGAAAGGUAUUUACAUUUGGUGACAAAUUUUGAUUUAAAUAUUGUGUUAUGCCAUUUGCCCCUCCCCUCUGGAACUGGAUUGUACUUAAUUGAAAGUUUCAGAAAGAGAACAUCUGUUUCUGAAAUUUUUCAAAUUUUAUCUCAGAGGGUAAGAAGUUCUAAAUUACUUCUUGUAAACAAGCAUAUUUCCUUCAUCCCUUACAGGCUCUAUCCUAAAUGGAUUUUUAAUUCAUUGAUAGCAUAUUGUGAUUAAAUUUUCCUGUCAUCUUCAUAUUCCUGUUUUCAUAGUAGAAACUCAGAUGCAUUUCCUUGUCCUUUGGAGAACAGUGCUCUGCAGUAUUUUGUUUCACCCAAAUAUAUAUCUCUCUAUUCAAAACUUGUCUAAAUCCUUUCACAAAGAAAGUUUUCCCAGUUGGAUCAUCCCUGACUCCAACUUCCUGGAGAGGUGCGAAGGGGUGGAGGGGAAUGGCUUUAAGAAAUGAAGUGCAACAAUGCAGUGCUUCCCUGUGAUACAAAUAUCUGAAAUGACCCUGAAUGACAUCCCUACUUUUGUCUUUUCAUUUGCAAUGGGCCCUUCCGUAAAAAAGGUGCAGAUCGGAAGCAAUUUAUUUUAGAAACAGAGAGGAUAUAAACAUAUAUAUCCCCUGUCUCCGAAGUGUGAAGGUUGAAAAGCAAGGGGAUGAUCUUCAAAGUGUCUAAAAUAUUGAUUUGUGGUGUAGUUUUACAAAAAUGCUUCGCGUUAGUUUUUCUCUCUUUCUUUUUUUUUUUUUUUUUCUGGAUGGUUGCUUAUGCUUUGGGUCAGUUGAUGCUAUAACUUGAACCUCUAUUUUUGAAUUAAUUUUUUUUUAUGGCGGUAUCUAACUGCCUUUAGAUAGUCAUUGCUGAAGAAAAAUCAUUCUGCAAAACCAAUUCUGAUGCUGUCUCUACUGUCACAAGUUUUGUUUUUGUUUGGUUCGUUUCUAAACAAUGAACCUCUCUACUUCCCUCUCCCCCAGAAAUGGCCCCAACUUGACAUUUGUGAAAGGUCCAUUUUUUCAAUCAGGUGUUUACUUCAGGAGCAAAGAUACUGGAUAUUCAAAUUACUCUUCAAUAUCAAGUUAAUAACUUGCAGUAAUAAAUCAAACUUUAGCAAAACGACAA